AACGCACAUUGCGCCCGCUAGUAUUCUAGCGGGCAUACCUGUUCGAGCGUCAUUUCAACCAUCAAGCCCCCGAGCUUGUGUUGGGGACCUGCGGCUACCUGCAGACCCUGAAAUCCAGUGGCAGGCUUGCUAGUACACCGAGCGUAGUAGUAUUAACCUCGCUCAGGGCGUACUGCAGGUGCUUGCUAUAAAACCCCUUGGCGGCACUAGGUUGACCUCGGAUUAGGUAGGAGGACCCGCUGAACUUAA
rnacentral:misc_RNA from 1 species